rnacentral:rRNA from 3 species
UACGAGGGGGGCAAGCGUUGUUCGGAAUUAUUGGGCGUAAAGGGCGCGUAGGCGGUUUGACAAGUCUGAUGUGAAAUCUCUGGGCUCAACCCAGAGUCUGCAUUAGAAACUGUCGGGCUUGAGUAUGGGAGAGGUGAGUGGAAUUUCCGGUGUAGCGGUGAAAUGCGUAGAUAUCGGAAGGAACACCUGUGGCGAAAGCGGCUCACUGGACCAUAACUGACGCUGAGGCGCGAAAGCUAGGGGAGCAAACAGG